rnacentral:rRNA from 1 species
GAUGAACGCUGGCGGCGUGCCUAAUACAUGCAAGUCGAGCGAACAGACGAGGGGCUUGCUCCUCUGACGUUAGCCGCGCACGGGUGAGUAACAUGUGGAUAACCUACCUAUAUGACUGGGAUAACUUCGGGAAACCGGCUCUAAUACCGGAUAAUCUACUGAACCGCAUUGUGCAGUAGUGAAAGACGGUGUUGCUGUCACUUAUAGAUGCCUCCCAGCCGCAUUAGCUAGUUGGUAAGGUAACAGCUUACCAAGGCAACGAUGCGUAGCCGACCUGAGAGGGUGAUCGGCCACACUGGAACUGAGACACGGUCCAGGCUACUACGAGAGGCAGCAGUAGGGAAUCUGCCGCAAUGGGCGGAAGCUUGACGGAGCAACGCCGCGUGAGUGAUGAAGGUCUUCGGAUCGUAAAGCUCUGCUAUUAGGGAAGAACAAAUGUGUAAGUAACUAAGCACGUAUUGACGGUACCUAAUCAGAAAGCCACGGCUAACUACGUG